rnacentral:rRNA from 1 species
GACGAACGCUGGCGGCGCGCUUAACACAUGCAAGUCGAACGGAAAGGCCUGCUUUCCCUUGUGGAUUGCGGGAACUCGAGUGGCGAACGGGUGAGUAACACGUGAGUGAUCUGCCCCCAACUUGGGUAUAAGCCUGGGAAACUGGGUCUAAUUCCCGAUAGGACUGCAGGGUGGUGCCUGUGGUGGAAAACGAUUUUCUAGUGGUUGGGGAUGAGCUCGCGGCCUAUCAGCUUGUUGGUGGGGUAAUGGCCUACCAAGGCGGCGACGGGUAGCCGGCCUGAGAGGGUGGACGGCCACAUUGGGACUGGGAUACGGCCCAGACUCCUACGGGAGGCAGCAGUGGGGAAUAUUGCACAAUGGGCGGAAGCCUGAUGCAGCGACGCCGCGUGGGGGAUGACGGCCUUCGGGUUGUAAACUCCUUUCGACCGCGAGGAAGCCACCUGGUUGGAAGGGUGGUGACGGUAGUGGUAGAAGAAGCACCGGCUAACUACGUG